AAAUCAUAUGACUCAUUAAUGUGGUGAUUAUGAUAACAUAAGGGAAAAAAAAUGAUGUUACCUUAUUAUUAGUGUUGUCCAAAACUGGUGCCAGAAGACUCGGUAAGACCAGAGACGCAAACGUUAGUCAUCUUUAUCAGGCGUAAAGGGUGUGUAGGCUGCUUUAAAAGUUUAUUUUUUUUAAUAGCUCUGUAACCGUAAGACUAUCUAUUUUAUUUUAUUUUGUUAUAUUUUAUUAUAUAUUGUUGUAGUAUAUAAAAUUUAUAACUAAUAUUUUAAAUUUAGAAAUGAGACGGGGACCAGAAAAAAAAUAAAUGAAUUAAAGCUAGAAUCAAAUGGAGGAUAAACCAAAUAAUACUUAGAGUAGGGGUUAAAUCCGCAGAUACUAAGGGGAAUACUAAAGGUGAAGACUUUUUAUCUAGUAUUGAUUGACGCUGAGAAACGAAGGUGAGAACAGGAAAUAGGAUUUGAUACCCAGAUACCUCUCACUGUCAACGAUGAAUGGUGGUUAGUUAGUUUUAAUAAAAACUGGUAACGAUGUUAACACGAUAACCAUUCCGCCUUGCGAGUACGGUUGCAAAACUGAAACCAAAAAAAUUAGUCGGUUUCGAAGCAAACGAAGUGAGCAUGUUAUUUAAUACGAGAGUACUUGCAUAGCCAGUUUUGUUGUUAGAAGAAUUUUUCUAAUAUCUUUUUACUAAGAAAAACAGAAUUGAGUAAUUUUUAUAAUGUUUAAAAAUUCGAUUACA
rnacentral:rRNA from 1 species